GGGUUUUAAAGUGUAGCGCAGGCGGUUAUGCAAGACAGAGGUGAAAUCCCCGGGCUCAACCUGGGGAACUGCCUUUGUGACUGCAUAGCUAGAGUGCGGCAGAGGGGGAUGGAAUUCCGCGUGUAGCAGUGAAAUGCGUAGAUAUGCGGAGGAACACCGAUGGCGAAGGCAAUCCCCUGGGCCUGCACUGACGCUCAUGCACGAAAGCGUGGGGGAGCAAACAGGAUUAGAUACCCUGGUAGUCCACGCCCUAAACGAUGUCAACUGGUUGUUGGGAGGGUUUCUUCUCAGUAACGUAGCUAACGCGUGAAGUUGACCGCCCGGGGGAGUACGGCCGCAAGGGUUGAAAACU
rnacentral:rRNA from 1 species